AAUUUCAUAUUGACUCCCAAAAGAGUGCAUCCAAAAUCAAGAUUUGAUUCCAGGUCCCCCAGCAAUUUGAUCAACUGUUGAAGCAAACCAAUCAUGCAAUGCAAACAAUUGCUUUGCUUCGUUGAAAAUGCGACUUGGACUGACUUUCAUUGGGAGAAUUCAAAGCUACUAUAUAUUAGACAGCGUUGGAUUAAUCUAAUGGGUGAGAUAUGUUUGGCGCUCAGAGUCUCUCCAUAUUUGGUCCUCAGGUGAGCACUUCUGUUGAAAGUAGACCUUAUCUCAUACAAUCACUUUUUGAGACAAUGGUGAUAGCAUUAUCUCAUACAAUCACGUUGUACAAAUUAUUUCUCUCUUUGCCAUUUUAUUUUGGGAAAAUGGGUUUGUCAUCCUUGUUUUGUUCCAUAACUUUUGUCGAUUUGUUUAGAGUGCUUAAACUUUCCACACGGCAUGAUCCACAGAGAGACCUUUGCUCUGCUGAGCAAAUAAUGGCAUGUUGCUUUUCUUUUAGUCAAAAGGUGGUAACAUGUUUUUGCCUUUUAAUUAAUUCACGCGCCAAACAUAAUAACAAUAUCAUAAUGCAUGUAGGUGCGUUUUCUCGGAAACAAAUGCAGCAAGGCCUU
rnacentral:lncRNA from 1 species